ACGAAGGGUGCAAGCGUUACUCGGAAUUACUGGGCGUAAAGGGCGCGUAGGCGGUCAGCACAAGUCAGUUGUGAAAUCUCCGGGCUUAACUCGGAAAGGUCAACUGAUACUGGGCGACUAGAGUGCAGAAGGGGCAACUGGAAUUCUCGGUGUAGCGGUGAAAUGCGUAGAUAUCGAGAGGAACACCUGCGGCGAAGGCGGGUUGCUGGGCUGACACUGACGCUGAGGCGCGAAAGCCAGGGGAGCAAACGGGA
rnacentral:rRNA from 1 species